rnacentral:rRNA from 1 species
UACAGAGGUCCCGAGCGUUGUUCGGAUUCACUGGGCGUAAAGGGUGCGUAGGUGGCAUAGAAAGUUUGAUGUGAAAGCUCAGGGCUUAACCCUGAAAUGGCAUUGAAUACUGCUGUGCUGGAGGUUUGGAGGGGGGACUGGAAUUCUUGGUGUAGCAGUGAAAUGCGUAGAUAUCAAGAGGAACACCAGUGGCGAAGGCGAGUCCCUGGACAACACCUGACACUGAGGCACGAAAGCUAGGGGAGCGAACAGG